rnacentral:rRNA from 1 species
GUUGAACGCUGGCGGCAGGCCUAACACAUGCAAGUCGAGCGGAGCGGCGGACGGGUGAGUCAUGCCUAGGAAUCUGCCUGGUAGUGGGGGAUAACGUCCGGAAACGGGCGCUAAUACCGCAUACUAUCAGAUGAGCCUAGGUCGGCUUAGCUAGUUGGUGGGGUAAAGGCCUACCAAGGCGACGAUCCGUAACUGGUCUGAGAGGAUGAUCAGUCACUAGGGAACUGAGACAAGGUCCAGACGCCUACGGGAGGAAGCAGGGGUCAAUAUGGGACAAUGGGCGAAAGCCUGAUACAGCCAUGCCGCGUGUGUGAAGAAGGUCUUCGGAUUGUAAAGCACUUUAAGUUGGGAGGCGUUACCAACAGAAUAAGCACCGGCUAACUUAGUGCCAGCCGCCGCGGUAAUUC